GCGGUAGUAGCUCAGUUGGUUAGAGCGCAUGCCUGUCACGCAUGAGGCCAGGGGUUCAAGCCCCCUCUAUCGCGCCA
rnacentral:tRNA from 1 species